rnacentral:rRNA from 1 species
ACAUGCAAGUCGAACGCUGAAGCCUGGUGCUUGCACCGGGUGGAUGAGUGGCGAACGGGUGAGUAACACGUGAGUAACCUGCCCCUGACUUCGGGAUAAGCCCGGGAAACUGGGUCUAAUACCGGAUACGACUGCCGGACGCAUGUCUGGUGGUGGAAAGUUUUUUCGGUUGGGGAUGGGCUCGCGGCCUAUCAGUUUGUUGGUGAGGUAAUGGCUCACCAAGACGACGACGGGUAGCCGGCCUGAGAGGGCGACCGGCCACACUGGGACUGAGACACGGCCCAGACUCCUACGGGAGGCAGCAGUGGGGAAUAUUGCACAAUGGGGGAAACCCUGAUGCAGCGACGCAGCGUGCGGGAUGACGGCCUUCGGGUUGUAAACCGCUUUCAGCAGGGAAGAAGCGCAAGUGACGGUACCUGCAGAAGAAGUACCGGCUAACUACGUGCCAGCAGCCGCGGUAAUACGUAGGGUACGAGCGUUGUCCGGAAUUAUUGGGCGUAAAGAGCUCGUAGGUGGUUGGUCACGUCUGCUGUGGAAACGCAACGCUUAACGUUGCGCGUGCAGUGGGUACGGGCUGACUAGAGUGCAGUAGGGGAGUCUGGAAUUCCUGGUGUAGCGGUGAAAUGCGCAGAUAUCAGGAGGAACACCGGUGGCGAAGGCGGGACUCUGGGCUGUAACUGACACUGAGGAGCGAAAGCAUGGGGAGCGAACAGGAUUAGAUACCCUGGUAGUCCAUGCCGUAAACGUUGGGCACUAGGUGUGGGGGGCAUUCCACGUUCUCCGCGCCGUAGCUAACGCAUUAAGUGCCCCGCCUGGGGAGUACGGUCGCAAGGCUAAAACUCAAAGGAAUUGACGGGGGCCCGCACAAGCGGCGGAGCAUGCGGAUUAAUUCGAUGCAACGCGAAGAACCUUACCAAGGCUUGACAUACACCGGACCGUCCUGGAAACAGGUCUUCUUCUUUGAAGCUGGUGUACAGGUGGUGCAUGGUUGUCGUCAGCUCGUGUCGUGAGAUGUUGGGUUAAGUCCCGCAACGAGCGCAACCCUCGUUCUAUGUUGCCAGCAUGUGAUGGUGGGCAACUCAUAGGAGACUGCC